CAAAGUUUAGUCCAUCCUUUCUUCCCAAGGGCACAUCAUAGUCCGGGCCACCUGACUGCAUCAACAAUAUUCAAAACAAACGCUUAAUCAUGUAACAAAAAGUUUCGAGUGACAUUUUAGUACUCUGGAGUAUUAAAUUCUUGUCAUUUAAAGCCCUUAGAUAAUUCAAUGGAUUGUCCCAUUUUCUUUAACAUCAAUUGGAUUGCAUCGAAAUGCUCUAAGUGGCGGAAUAUUAGAGAUUUAAUUAGUGCUAAAAUUUUAUGUGUACACGCCAAAGAGAAUGUCUUGGUCAUUGUUUAAGAUUUAACAAUUUCUACUUGUUCCUAAUCGUGGGCAUCUUCAGUGGUUCGUACAUUAAUAUGAAAAAGUAACACCACUCCAACUACUACAUUAAUUAAGUAAAGCUACUAACUACUUGUCAAGUAAAACAAUUAAAAAACAGAUAGUCAUGUGCUAGAGGAAAAUGUAAAAACGAAAAAUAUGCAAUAGAUUAUCAUGUGUCUUGAUUCUCUUAUAUUUCUAUAUUGUUGUGAUAUAUUAAAGGUUCUACCAACUCCACAAACGGGAACACUUUUUAAUUUAAAUUAUAACACAUGGACUGGGGAUAUGGAAAUGAAUUAACUAGUUCAUUCAGAUGCCCAUGAGAUGAGAUCCAUGAAGGUAAAUCAUUUAAAAAUGUUUAUAUCAAAGCAUAAGAUAAGUAACACUUGGAAGGAGUCUAACUAGGCAAUGAUAUCACAUUUAUCAUCUAGAGUUCAACAAUCGUAUAAACUACUGUAGUAUUACUUAGGUCUGAUUUGAUUUGGUACUAAAGUGAUUCUGAAAAAAGUUGGUAUCAAAAAAAGCUGAGAGUUUUUUUGUGUUUGGUAAACAUUCAGCUUCAGUUUUUUUUUUCACAAUUUUGGGUAAAAAAAAAACCAAAAACAAGAAGCUGCAAAAUUCAGCUUUGAAAAACCGAUUUUUUUUCACAUUUGUUUUACAUAAAAGUUUACCACAUUAUAAUACUACUUUUUUUUUCAAAAGCAUUUUUACAAAAAAAUUUAACAAACACUCUACUGCUUUAUUUCACAGCCGUUUAUUCUCACAACACAGCAGAAGCAGCUUUUUUUUCAAAAUACAGCAAUACCAAACCAGCCUUUAGUAAUGUCACAGUAGCAUACAGGAUUGUGAUAUCUUUCUCUUAUGAAAAUAAUUUAUACGGAACAGGUUUACCGUCAACAUCAAGUUCCGUUCAAUAAAACAAUAAAUAUAUAAAUUUGAUCAUGACACCUGUGAUGGAAUCCGUUGUAUCUAAGUUUUUCUACCUCUUAUGGCAUGGGAUGUAUAAAUGUCCAGAAAAUUGCUAACAUGCAGAUAUUGAUUAUCAUUUAUCCACUUACAGCCAACUAUAUUGAACCAUGUAGAGUAAUAGUUCCCUGGGAUCUAUGGUAAGAUAUUUUAGAACAUUGAAUGCAGUUGGUUGUUCGAUAAGGACAACAGGGAAGGUAUCCGCUUCUGUCAAAAACAUCUGCACCACACAAAUUCUUGCAUGUGUUUCCCGGAAACCCUCCUUUAUAAUGAAAUUAUCUCUCCGUACGAACCUUAUAAUCGAAUAUUUUACAUUUUUACAAUCAUCUAAAAAUUAUAUCUGUAAAAUAUUAUUUAAUUUGAAGAUCGGUUAAUAAAUCAUAUGCAUCAAUAAGUGAACGGAUUUGGUAUAAAUUAUCUAUUUGUUUGAUAGAUAUAAAUGACUAAUUUUUAUAAAUAUGAAUUUUUGAUGAUAAUAAAGAGAAUGAACAAUUCCAAAUUUAUUGUUCAUACAAUUAAAAAGCAUUACCCAUAAGUGAGAAAACAAAUAUGUUUACACGAAAGAAUACAAGCAUUAUUCUUUCUCAUAUCAAUAUGUAUGGUUGGAACGCGCCUUUAAUUAAAAAAUGAAAAGGAAAAAUCUAAAAGCAUUCUUGUAAUUUAAAGAAGAAGAAAAAAGAGCGAAAAGUCAUCAAUGAAAUUUCCUACGUAAAAGCAAGUAUUCCAGUGGAACGAAAUAUCCACAUCCAUCACUAUGGUCAAGUUAUCAAUUGGAAAGAGAUUCUCUAAAGUCCAAAGAUCUGGUGAUCCGAGUUUUUAAAAUUUAAUCAAACAGUUAAAAAUUGAAAAGUUAGUAAAAAAAAUUUAAAAGUUCUAAUAAUUUGACUGUUUUGAUCAAAUUUUAAAGGU
rnacentral:lncRNA from 1 species